UACAGAGGUCUCAAGCGUUGUUCGGAUUCAUUGGGCGUAAAGAGCGUGUAGGCGGCCUUUUAAGUCCUGCGUGAAAUCCUGCGGCUCAACCGCAGACGGUCGUGGGAAACUGGAAGGCUAGAGUGCGGGAGAGGAGAGUGGAAUUCCCGGUGUAGCGGUGAAAUGCGCAGAUAUCGGGAAGAACACCCGUGGCGAAGGCGGCUCUCUGGAACGCAACUGACGCUGAGACGCGAAAGCGUGGGGAGCAAACAGG
rnacentral:rRNA from 1 species